UCAAGAUUGGGAAGAUCUUAUGAGAUUGGAGCUAUUGUCGUGUGCGAUUCUUCAUAGUUAAUAAUGUACUAUACAUAUGUACCUGGGCAUGGGACCAAUCCUGCCAGUGGCCACACCUUCAAGAAGAAUGAGUCUCAUUCCACCAGCAGCUAUCAACUGUCAAUAACUUCUCCUUAGGUGUGGAGCCUGAAAAGCAACUUCUCCAUCUAUUUCAGAAAUUUGACUGUAAAGCCUUGAACUGAAAUGCCU
rnacentral:lncRNA from 1 species